rnacentral:rRNA from 1 species
UACGAAGGGGGCUAGCGUUGUUCGGAAUCACUGGGCGUAAAGCGCACGUAGGCGGCUUUGCAAGUUAGAGGUGAAAGCCCGGGGCUCAACUCCGGAAUUGCCUUUAAAACUGCAUCGCUAGAAUUGUGGAGAGGUAAGUGGAAUUCCGAGUGUAGAGGUGAAAUUCGUAGAUAUUCGGAAGAACACCAGUGGCGAAGGCGACUUACUGGACACAUAUUGACGCUGAGGUGCGAAAGCGUGGGGAGCAAACAGG